rnacentral:rRNA from 1 species
AUACGGAGGGAGCAAGCGUUAUUCGGAAUCACUGGGCGUAAAGGACGCGUAGGCGGGUUUGUAAGUCAGGUGUGAAAUCCUACAGCUCAACUGUAGAACUGCACUUGAAACUACGGACCUAGAGUAUGGAAGGGGCGGAUGGAAUUAGUGGUGUAGGGGUAAAAUCCGUAGAUAUCACUAGGAAUACCGAAAGCGAAGGCGAUCUGCUGGGACAUUACUGACGCUGAGGCGUGAAAGCGUGGGGAGCAAACAGGAUUAGAAACCCUAGUAGUCC